AACGAACGCUGGCGGCAGGCUUAACACAUGCAAGUCGAACGCUCGACCUUCGGGUCGGGAGUGGCAGACGGGUGAGUAACGCGUGGGAACGUACCCUUCGGUUCGGAAUAACCCAGGGAAACUUGGGCUAAUACCGGAUACGUCCUGGCCUGGAGACAGGGUGGGAGAAAGGUUUACUGCCGAAGGAUCGGCCCGCGUCGGAUUAGCUAGUUGGUGGGGUAACGGCCCACCAAGGCGACGAUCCGUAGCUGGUCUGAGAGGAUGAUCAGCCACACUGGGACUGAGACACGGCCCAGACUCCUACGGGAGGCAGCAGUGGGGAAUAUUGGACAAUGGGCGAAAGCCUGAUCCAGCCAUGCCGCGUGAGUGAAGAAGGCCUUAGGGUUGUAAAGCUCUUUCAGCGGGGACGAUAAUGACGGUACCCGCA
rnacentral:rRNA from 1 species